rnacentral:rRNA from 1 species
UUCCCUUCGGGGACAUUGGUGACAGGUGGUGCAUGGUUGUCGUCAGCUCGUGUCGUGAGAUGUUGGGUUAAGUCCCGCAACGAGCGCAACCCUUGUCUUUAGUUGCCAUCAUUAAGUUGGGCACUCUAGAGAGACUGCCAGGGAUAACCUGGAGGAAGGUGGGGAUGACGUCAAAUCAUCAUGCCCCUUAUGCUUAGGGCUACACACGUGCUACAAUGGGUAGUACAGAGGGUUGCCAAGCCGUAAGGUGGAGCUAAUCCCUUAAAGCUACUCUCAGUUCGGAUUGUAGGCUGAAACUCGCCUACAUGAAGCUGGAGUUACUAGUAAUCGCAGAUCAGAAUGCUGCGGUGAAUGCGUUCCCGGGUCUUGUACACACCGCCCGUCACACCACGGGAGUUGGAGACGCCCGAAGCCGAUUAUCUAACCUUGUGGAAGAAGGCGUCGAAGGUGGAAUCAAUAACUGGGGUGAAGUCGUAACAAGGUAGCCGUAUCGGAAGGUGCGGCUGGAUCACCUCCUUUCUAAUGA